CCCAUAAAUUACUUGAUUCAUAACCAUGUUAUCUUGAAAGAACUUACUAAUCAGUUAGGAUCUAUUGUCACUGUUGUUUCUGUUCGUAUUUCACUCGCUACUGCAGAGAUGAAUUUGCUGCUGUAGAACAACUUGUGGAAGCUGGGUUAAGUAAAUUUAGAGAACUCGAUCCAUACUUGAGUGAUGUAUAGUGGAGAAAGUGACUAAAUUAAAGCUUAUCAGCCUAUGUGAUCUCACAUCAGAAUGAUCAGAUUAGUGAUUUUAUUCUUGUAUGUGAUUCAUGUGCCUCCUUGUUUUAUUACUUGAUGUAUUGGAGGCUACUGAUGGAUAUUCCUCUAUGCACUGCAAUUUCUAUUGUGAAGAGUCCUUCUGGUUAAGGAUGGUAUCAACUGAUUCUAACUCAGAUUAGUCGGGAAGGUCCAUUUCUUUGAAGUGGCUACCUUCCAUAGCCAUUGCUGGUUUGACAAUCCUAAUCGAUGUGGCCUGUUGAGGUUGUUGGAAGCAUCAUACUACUAGUUGUCUCCAGCGAUUUCGUUGGAUUGCAUGCAGCAGUUGUAGCAUAUCAGGAAAGAUACGUUCAAGAGAGGUAUGACUUAUGUGAUUGAAGUGGUUGUCGAGUUUGAUGAAUGCACAAACGACUGGCUAUAUCUUUGAGAGCUCUGAGGAAUGUUCCCAAACCAGGCCCCGAUAUUUAGAAAGAUCUAUCUCUCAACCAUUGGAGCUUUCUGUCGGAGGAAUGCAGGGCUGGAUGCAGGUAUACUCAGUUCUGCUACUAUAUGUGGUGCUUAUACUCAAGAUCAGCUAGAGAGGCUAUAUACGAAGUGAAAACGAAGGUCUGAAGUAUUGCCUCUAUUCCAAUUCCAACCUACCAAAAAGAAAACAAGAGUCCCACAGUUUGUCAAGAACUUUUGCAGGAGUUUGUUCAACAAUUUUCUUGAUUUGAUAGCAAUAGACUAGCAUUUGGUUAUACUAAUUUCUGUUUAAAUG